CACUCCUACGGGAGGCAGCAGUGGGGAAUAUUGCACAAUGGGCGCAAGCCUGAUGCAGCCAUGCCGCGUGUAUGAAGAAGGCCUUCGGGUUGUAAAGUACUUUCAGCGGGGAGGAAGGCGAUAAGGUUAAUAACCUUGUCGAUUGACGUUACCCGCAGAAGAAGCACCGGCUAACUCCGUGCCAGCAGCCGCGGUAAUACGGAGGGUGCAAGCGUUAAUCGGAAUUACUGGGCGUAAAGCGCACGCAGGCGGUCUGUCAAGUCGGAUGUGAAAUCCCCGGGCUCAACCUGGGAACUGCAUUCGAAACUGGCAGGCUAGAGUCUUGUAGAGGGGGGUAGAAUUCCAGGUGUAGCGGUGAAAUGCGUAGAGAUCUGGAGGAAUACCGGUGGCGAAGGCGGCCCCCUGGACAAAGACUGACGCUCAGGUGCGAAAGCGUGGGGAGCAAACAGGAUUAGAUACCCCUGUAGUCCCAUG
rnacentral:rRNA from 1 species